rnacentral:rRNA from 1 species
CUACGGGGGGCUGCAGUGGGGAAUAUUGGACAAUGGGGGAAACCCUGAUCCAGCAAUGCCGCGUGUGUGAAGAAGGCCUGCGGGUUGUAAAGCACUUUCGGUUGGGAGGACUGCUUCUAGCACUAAUAUUGUUGGAAGUUGACGUUACCUUCAGAAGAAGCACCGGCUAACUCCGUGCCAGCAGCCGCGGUAAUACGGAGGGUGCAAGCGUUAAUCGGAAUUACUGGGCGUAAAGCGCGCGUAGGCGGCUAGAUCAGUCGGGUGUGAAAGCCCCGGGCUUAACCUGGGAACUGCAUCCGAUACUGUCUAGCUUGAGUACAGGAGAGGAGAGUGGAAUUCCACAUGUAGCGGUGAAAUGCGUAGAUAUGUGGAGGAACACCAAUGGCGAAGGCAGCUCUCUGGCCUGAUACUGACGCUGAGGUGCGAAAGCGUGGGGGAGCAAACAGGAUUAGAUACCCGGGUAGUC